rnacentral:lncRNA from 10 species
GGAGGGUUAAGGAUCGGGUGGCAGUGAGAGGGUCGUGCAUUCCGGGCUUCAUGGGCGUCCCACAUUGAGCACUUACGGGCAUGUGCAAGCUGCCGAGGACACACGGACGGAUGGCAGAGCUACACGUGCAGCCUCAUGAGACAGCCAGCAAACCGUCUGAUGAUCUCUCCAGUUGUCUGGGCUCCAAAAAUGGCCCAUGAGUCACCACUGCAAGGCCCCCAGAGCCUGGCAGACAACCACACUCAAGCCAAGCUCCAGAGAUGGCCUUGGGGAGAAUCUGACUUUCUGGGGGCCCUUCCCCAGGCUCUGCUGGAACCUUCGCCACACCUUGCUUCAGCCGCUCCUCAGUGUCUAUGGCUGGGUCACCGCCCAAGCUGAUGCGUGUUUAGAAAACCCAACAGGGGGUGUUUUCUCCUGGUGACAGGCAGAGGUCAAAAGGGGUCCAGGGAAUCAUCUGACAGCUCAAGCCGGGGGACAAUACCGAGCACCAGCAGAACAGUGUCCUGCCUGCAGAUUCCCCACCGUGGGGAAUGCAGGGGGCCGGAAGGAGCAGAAAGGCCCUGUCUCUAAACCUGGGACCUUUUCCUCAGGGCAGAAUUGCUUUAAUCUGCGAGUAGCUAAGCAAAGAUGCCCCUCCAUCAGACUCUGGUUGACUGUAGAUUCUUAGCCAUGAUAAUCUGAUUAGCAAAGAGCUCGUUUCUCUGCCAGGCCUUCCACCUUCCUCCGCUCACGCAGUGCUCACGUAACACUACUCGUACAGUAAUUCAAAUAACAAUGAUGGCUGGGCACAGUGGCUCACACCUGUAAUCCCAGCACUUUGGGAGGCCAAAGUGGGAGGAUUGAGACCAGCCUGGGCAGCAAAAAAAAAUUUAAAAAUUUAAUUUUUUUGUACAACUACAAAAAAAUUAAAAAAUUAGCUGGUUGUAUUGGCACAUGCCUGUGGUCUCAGCUACUUGGGAGGCUGAAACAGGAGGAUUGCUUGAGCCCAGGAGGUAAAGACUGCAGUGAAUCAUGAUUGUACCACUGCACUCCAGCUUGGGUGACAGAGCAAGACACUGUCUCAAAAAA